rnacentral:rRNA from 1 species
UACGGAAGGCAGCAGUGGGGAAUAUUGCACAAUGGGCGAAAGCCUGAUGCAGCUAUGCCGCGUGUAUGAAGAAGGCCUUAGGGUUGUAAAGUACUUUCAUCGGGGAGGAAAAAACAAAACUAAUAAUUUUAUUUCUUGACGUUACCCGAAAAAGAAGCACCGGCUAACUCCGUGCCAGCAGCCGCGGUAAUACGGAGGGUGCUAGCGUUAAUCAGAAUUACUGGGCGUAAAGAGCACGUAGGUGGUUUUUUUAAGUUCAGAUGUGAAAUCCCUGGGCUUAACCUAGGAAACUGCAUUUUGAAACUGAAAUACUAGAGUAUCGUAGAGGGAGGUAGAAUUCUAGGUGUAGCGGUGAAAUGCGUAGAUAUCUGGAGGAAUACCUGUGGCGAAAGCGGCCUCCUAAACGAAUACUGACACUGAGGUGCGAAAGCGUGGGGAGCAAACAGGAUUAGAUACC